AAGCUGAAAGCAGGCAGCUCUA
rnacentral:siRNA from 1 species